rnacentral:rRNA from 1 species
GGGGAAUAUUGCACAAUGGGGGAAACCCUGAUGCAGCGACGCCGCGUGAGCGAAGAAGUAUUUCGGUAUGUAAAGCUCUAUCAGCAGGGAAGAUAAUGACGGUACCUGACUAAGAAGCUCCGGCUAAAUACGUGCCAGCAGCCGCGGUAAUACGUAUGGAGCAAGCGUUAUCCGGAUUUACUGGGUGUAAAGGGAGCGUAGACGGUUUGGCAAGUCUGAUGUGAAAUUUCAGGGCUUAACCCUGAACCUGCAUUGGAAACUGUCGAACUAGAGUGUCGGAGAGGUGAGUGGAAUUCCUAGUGUAGCGGUGAAAUGCGUAGAUAUUAGGAGGAACACCAGUGGCGAAGGCGGCUCACUGGACGAUAACUGACGCUGAGGCUCGAAAGUGUGGGGAGCAAACAGGAUUAGAUACCCUGGUAGUCCACACUGUAAACGAUGAUAACUAGGUGUGGGGGGUCUGACCCCUUCCGUGCCGCAGCUAACGCAAUAAGUUAUCCACCUGGGGAGUACGACCGCAAGGUUGAAACUCAAAGGAAUUGACGGGGACCCGCACAAGCAGUGGAUUAUGUGGUUUAAUUCGAAGCAACGCGAAGAACCUUACCAGUCCUUGACAUCCAACUGACCGACCAGUAACGUGGUCUUCUCUUCGGAGCAGUUGAGACAGGUGGUGCAUGGUUGUCGUCAGCUCGUGUCGUGAGAUGUUGGGUUAAGUCCCGCAACGAGCGCAACCCCUAUCCUUAGUAGCCAGCAGUAAGAUGGGAACUCUGGGGAGACUGCCGGGGAUAACCCGGAGGAAGGUGGGGACGACGUCAAAUCAUCAUGCCCCUUAUGGGCUGGGCUACACACGUGCUACAAUGGUGCUAACAGAGUGAGGCGAGACUGUGAAGUUAAGCAAAUCACAAAAAUGGCAUCUCAGUUCGGAUUGUAGUCUGCAACUCGACUACAUGAAGCUGGAAUCGCUAGUAAUCGCAGAUCAGAAUGCUGCGGUGAAUACGUUCCCG